UACGGAGGAUGCGAGCGUUAUCCGGAUUUAUUGGGUUUAAAGGGUGCGUAGGCGGACGCUUAAGUCAGCGGUAAAAUUGCGGGGCUCAACCUCGUCGAGCCGUUGAAACUGGGUGCCUUGAGUGGGCGAGAAGUACGCGGAAUGCGUGGUGUAGCGGUGAAAUGCAUAGAUAUCACGCAGAACUCCGAUUGCGAAGGCAGCGUACCGGCGCCCUACUGACGCUGAAACACGAAGGCGUGGGUAUCGAACAGG
rnacentral:rRNA from 1 species